UUUUAAAUUGAAACAAAAUGAUUUCCAUUUUGAAUAGUUUUUAACAUGAACGAGCAGUUUCUUGCUGUCCGCCAUUAUUAUCAUUGCUGCAAGUAUCCUGUGUUCGGCUUCUGUGCCAAGUGCUAACUUACGACAUUUUUUCCCAAGAGGAGGAGGAAUUGUGUUGGAAACGAAAGACGUUGGAAACAAAAUGAUUUCCAUUUUGAAUAGUUUUUAACAUGAACGAGCAGUUUCUUGCUGUCCGCCAUUAUUAUCAUUGCUGUAAGUAUCCUGUGUUCGGCUUCUGUGCCAAGUGCUAACUAACGACAUUUUUUCCCAAGAGGAGGAGGAAUUGUGUUGGAAACGAAAGACGUCCCCAACGGCCGACGACGAGAUCCGGCCGGACAACCAGGAUUCCGGCCCAUUUACGGGAGUACGAUCUUCGGGGCCCCCGAUAGGUGGCCCCUUGUCACCCGCCUAACUGUACUGAUUCUUUGUGCCCUUUCCCCCCCCCCCCUGGUGUCAAUGUAAUGUUCUGGAGGGGGUCGGGCCCUCUCUGUCUCUAUCUAUCCAUACUACAAGUCAGUUCAAUACAAGUCAGGUUAGCAAUCUAAAAUCAGUGUCCUCAUCUUUAUUCAUUUCAUCCAAUAUUUGGUAAGGCAAACUUGACACUACUUCCCUGCCGAACAAAUUGAUAGAAAAGACAAAUCAAAACUGAAAAAGAUGAAAGCUGCAGCUUUUGACAGUGAUGAUGAUGGCGAAGGUAUUGCAAAUCAGUUUACAAAAAUUUUCAUGAUUUUGAGCUUUUUUUAAUCUAUAAUAAUGCGAUGCGAACUGUAUGCAGACAACUGAUGAGCCUAAACCUAUUGCCGGCGGAAAAAAUAUCGAAACAAUUCUAUGUCAUUGUAGAAGAAGUAAGUAAGAUGCGUGAUGGCGCACUACUGAAAACCUUUUGCAAUUACGUAGAACGGCAAUGGAUCAAACAUUCGUUAUGGCCACCAACAACAUGGUCGAUGUUUAUGGAACUUCGUCGCACAAACAACAAUGCAGACUACACUAUUACACUAUAACAUUAUACUAUAAAUUUAAAAAAAAUGUAAUUAGGGUACCACAAUUCCUUAAAAGUGGAAGUUGCAACAGCCAGAGUGUAUCUGGUAAAAUUUAUUCAGUUAAUGAAAGCCGAGGCAGAAAAGAUAGACUGGAAAGCCAAAUUAUUGUCGCAAGAGCAACAACUACAAAAGUAAAAGAGAUGGCGAUGAAUUGGAUGACCAAGUCAGUAACAAUGAAAAAUAUGUAGGACAAGAAAGAGGGAGAGAUGCCAAUGCAUAUGAUUUAUGCAAAGAUGAAGAGCAUAGCAAAUGUGUAGAAGAUGAGGAAGAAGAGAAUGUUAAUGAAGAUAGACUGGAAAGCCAAAUUAUUGAAAAUAAAGCACAGUGAAAUGGUGAAGAAGAUGGAGAAGAAGAGUAUGAUGAGGAAGGAAGGAAAACUCGCAAAAAGACUAAGGAGGUUGAUGUGAGAAAGAAAUCAGAACAAAAAACUAGCCACGAUGAAUAUUAACCCUAGUGAACUUGAACAGGCUCAUGAUACUGAUUUCCAUGCAAAGAUUAUAAAAACUGAUAUGCCGGAACGCAUUCAAAUUUAGUUUUUCCAAUUUUCAUCAAGUUUUAUUUAUAUUAUUUAUUUAUUAUAUUAUUAUAUUAUAUUAUAUUAUAUUAUAUUAUAUUUAUAUAUUUACUGAUUUCGAUAAAAAGAUUAUAAAAACUGAUAUGCCGGAACGCAUGCAAUUUCGAGAUGUUCCCAUUACGUCUGUCGAAGAAGGUUCUGACGAAUUGGAUUUAGAAGCCCAGUGGAUAAACAAGCGUGCUUUUUCCUAAUCUUCAGUUUCAAUUCAGUCUUCGAAAUCCGUUGCUACGGCCUCGGUGCAGCCACUUUCUGUUCCCGUCCUAUCGGAUCCCGUUCUACCGACAUCGUCAUCUGAUAGGACCACAAGGAUAUCACAGAGUCCCAAGUCGCGAUCCAGGUCCAGCAGUCCAGAUGGCGAUCGGGACCGAACUUCCCGUAGGUCCCGGGAACCUUCCACUCUCUCAGACCAAGCAGGAUGCAGUAACUGGGUUGACCGUCGUCAAAAUGGAAGAGGUCGUACUCGAUCCCCAUUGCGUGGUUCUCGACGUACCCCUUCUCCAGCACUUGCGCCCCCUAUCACUGCCCAAUUGGAAAACGUUGUAGUGGCUGGCCGUCCUGGGAUUUUCGCCGGAAAUCCCGUUCUCUUGGAAAACCGUUUAAGGUGCCAGUAUUACGAGAGGACAGGUUGCUGCCUCCGCAACCCCCGUCCCUGACACAUGGAUACGUUUUUCCAAGCAAGUCCACCACAAUUCGCAGUGGAGGAGGAGGAAAACCGUUUAAGGUGCCAGGAUUACGAGAGGACAGGUCGCUGCCCACGCCCCCGCUGUCUAUGUCCAUAUACGCAUGGAUAUGUGCCGCCAUGUGCAGUGCAUGAAGCGUUGAUGGACAUAGAACGAUUCCGACCGCAACAACCAGAACGAAUUGACGAAGCCAAGAACACGCAAAAACGGCCCUAGUCCUUUCACAUGACGUCGGCUCAACAUUGAAAAUUCUAAUAUUUUCAGCACUCUCCAUUUUUUCUGUUUUCUUUUAAAUUAUACGUGGCAAAAUCCAAGGAAAUGAACCAGUAUAUGUCCUUCGUUUUGUUUUCUCCCAUUAUUUUUGUUUGUGGUGUGAGUAUGUUUGUCAGAUUCUUGAACAUGAUGCACAGGUGAAAAAAUACAACAAGUGAUUUUGUGUGGA